GACGAACGCUGGCGGCGUGCUUAACACAUGCAAGUCGAACGGAGCACCCCUGAAGGAGUUUUCGGACAACGGAUGGGAAUGCUUAGUGGCGGACUGGUGAGUAACGCGUGAGGAACCUGCCUUCCAGAGGGGGACAACAGUUGGAAACGACUGCUAAUACCGCAUGAUGCGUUGGAGCCGCAUGACUCCGACGCCAAAGAUUUAUCGCUGGAAGAUGGCCUCGCGUCUGAUUAGCUAGUUGGUGAGGUAACGGCCCACCAAGGCGACGAUCAGUAGCCGGACUGAGAGGUUGGCCGGCCACAUUGGGACUGAGACACGGCCCAA
rnacentral:rRNA from 1 species